rnacentral:lncRNA from 7 species
ACUCUAUUACACGCUGGAGGAGCCACGCUGAUCUCCUACUCAAGGCAAGGAGUUUGUGGUCUUGAUUCUGCCUGGUGUUUGGGAGCUGCUUGGACAAACUGCCUGCUUGUAGAAGGAAUGGAGAGAUGGAGCUGCAAUACCUUGUGCCAUGCAAAUUCGGCCACUAGUUCUUGCUCAGGGCUAUGUCAACAGCCACCGUACAGUACUUGUUAUUCUUGUGCCACUUGGUCUUUGUGGUCCAAGGGGUGGUGAAGCUGCAGCACCGAAGAAAAACGUAUGGCUGUCACAGCUCUGACUUGACCUCAUCUCCGUGCUUUGGGGUGGCUGAUGUAACACAAUAGUAACGACACCUUGCUGAAGUCUUAUGAGACCCAUGGAAGUCCUUGGAGAGAAACAAAGAGCAGGACAGAAGGGAUUCCUGUGCACGAUGUUUGUUCCAACAGAGCAAAUGCUGGAAGUGCUCAAAUGUACAUCUAGAAACAAAGGUAUCAUCUUUUGGAAACACCCAUGGGGGUUAUUUGCUUGUGUGCAAAUGUUAACAUUUCCUGAUGUUAAUCCCUCUGCUCCGUACCUGCUAAAGACAGACAUCCUAUUGCAGCUGUGGUUCACCAGGGAAACAGACAUGUUUUGUACUGUUUCCCCUAUAAUCCUUACCACUUUCUUCACAGCAUGGAGUGAUUUCUGUGAAACUGAUGCAAGAGUCAAGAUUUGCCAAACUCAAUCCACCAGUUAGAGGAGAAAAUAACAUUUAAUCUACAGUAUGAAACCUGAUUUCAUGCUACUGACGAGAGUCACUGGAAAUGACUGGAUUAAAAGGGUGCCUUAACAAAUCAUAGAGCUCAGAGGAGCCAUGUAGUGUUUUUGUAACGGAUGCCUCUUUUUCUUAUGAUCUUCUUUUAACGUGGCUUUGAAAAUCUCCCAGCAGUAUAGUAUUAUUUAGCUUUGCUUUAAGUGUUAAAACACUUUCUUUUCCCCCUCCCAGCCAAAAGGAGACCUUUAUGUGAAAUUAAUGCACAAAAUCAUGAGUAAAGGACCAGUAAGUAUAAUGCUGAAGGUAAAAGUAUACUUUGAACAUUGUUUCCAUUAUUCGGAAUACGUGAAGUUUCAGUUCAGAUAGAAAUGAAAGAUGAUUCUGGAAACUUUGCAAAUACCUGAAAAUUCAACUUUGCUCUUGUUAACUGUAUGGUAGUUAAGGAAGAAAGGCAAAUUAAAGGAAAAUUGCUGAGAAGUUUUGCCAUUGGAAGUGCUACAGCUGUGAUCACGUCUUAACCAUAGGCGUUUGCAAAAGUUCAUCAGUAGUCAUUAAUUCAGCAGUGACCUUUGAAAAUGUUUUUUCCUUUGAUACAUCAAACUAAAAGGGAUAACAUACUUUUGACAGCACAAGAGAACUUUGUGUCUUUCCCAUUAUUAACGGUAUAUGAGGUAGUAUUUCCCCCUCAAGAUGAAAUGAUGCCAUCGUGUCUCAUGGCAAACAGUUUCUUACUGCUACAGGAUUGUUAAGAUUGUACAAAUCUCAUGCCACCUCCUAUUGAUUUUGAAGGUAAGGUAAUUAGUGAGAUAUAAAAGUGUAGUCUUGUGUGCCACACAGCUGAUGGUUCAAUUACUGCUUCCUAUGGGCUUUAUUAUAUCAGUUUUCAGACAGUUUUCUGGCCAGCUCUUGGUUGCUGGUGCAGUUGCCCUUUGUUCUCAGGAAACCUCCUUACCAGGAGCCCUAGGCAGCACUCUGAUUUCACUGCAUUUCCUGGAGCUGAGUAUGUUUUCCUUACUCAGUCAGACUGUUGCAUUGCUUAGAAAUCAGAUAAGGGCCUUGAGAAAAGAGCCCAUUCCAGGGGCUCUUUUAUGAACCUUGGACACUUGUUCUUGCCCAUAAACAUGGACACGCAGGGCUGGUUCUAUGGACUGAACCUUAAACCUUUGCAUACUGGCUGUCCGUAAACCACAGCAAAGCAUCCUCUUCUCUGAGUACAGCUUUCCAGCAUGUUUUUUUCCACUGGUUUUUUAGAUAGGGGAUACAGUUUGCUCUUGUUCCUAGUGAGCCUAUUUAUGCAUUCUUCCAAAUCUGGCUUUGGUGGCUGUCUUAUUUUUUUUCUGCUGUGAUGGUUAAUAAUUCCCCUCCUCAGUUUUUUUUAAUUGAUUUCAAUUCUUGCCACUGUUUUGCAUUGAUGAAGAAGAAAAUACAAUAAAGAGGUGGAGGUGAU